UACGGAGGAUCCAAGCGUUAUCCGGAUUUAUUGGGUUUACAGGGUGCGUAGGCAGCUUAUUAAGUCAGGGGUGAAAGACGGUGGCUCAACCAUCGCAGUGCCUUUGAUACUGAUGAGCUUGAAUGAACUAGAGGUAGGCGGAAUGUGACAAGUAGCGGUGAAAUGCUUAGAUAUGACAUAGAACACCAAUUGCGAAGGCAGCUUACUAAAGUAUGAUUGACGCUGAGGCACGAAAGCGUGGGGAUCAAACAGG
rnacentral:rRNA from 1 species